GCCAGCAAGGUGUAGUGGUUUGAGCGUUAGACUAUGAUUCUGGAGACCAGAGUUUGAUUCUCUGCAUAGUCA